GCAUAUUCACCCAGUGCUUUUCCAGCUGCACUGGCUCCUGGUGGAGUACAGGGUCAGAUUUAAGGUGCUGGUUUUGACCUUUAAAGCCCUUCACGGCCUAGGACCCUCGUACCUACGGGACCGCCUCUCCCGGUAUGCCCCACGGAGGACCUUAAGGUCCAUAAAUAGCAACACCCUAGAGGUCCCGGGCCCUAAGGAUGUUAGAUUAGCCUCAACCAGA